rfam:Parcubacteria bacterium GW2011_GWC1_45_14 TW95_C0001, whole genome shotgun sequence.
GCGGGCAUCGUAUAGUGGUAAUACGGCGGUCUCCAAAACCGUUAACGUGGGUUCGAUUCCUACUGCCCGUG